CCUACGGGAGGCAGCAGUGAGGAAUAUUGGUCAAUGGACGCAAGUCUGAACCAGCCAUGCCGCGUGAAGGAAGACGGCGCUAUGAGGUGUAAACUGCUGUUGUACGAGGGUAAACGCAGAUACGCGUAUCUGUCUGAAAGUAGCGUACGAAUAAGGAUCGGCUAACUCCGUGCCAGCAGCCGCGGUAAUACGGAGGAGUCAAGCGUUAUACGGAUUGAUUGGGUUUAAAGGUUGCGUAGGAGGUCGGAUAAGUUAGAGGUGAAAUCCCGAGGCUCAACUUCGGAAUUGCCUCUGAUACUGUUCGGCUAGAGCGUAGUUGCGGUAGGCGGAAUGUCUGUUGUAGCGGUGAAAUGCUUAGAGAUCAUACAGAACACCGAUUGCGAAGGCAGCUUACCAGGCUACUUCUGACGUUGAGGCACGAAAGCGUGGGGAGCAAACAGGAUUAGAUACCCUAGUAGUC
rnacentral:rRNA from 1 species